UACGUAGGGUGCGAGCGUUAAUCGGAAUUACUGGGCGUAAAGCGUGCGCAGGCGGUUUUGUAAGCCAGAUGUGAAAUCCCCGGGCUUAACCUGGGAAUGGCAUUUGGGACUGCAAGGCUGGAGUGUGGCAGAGGAGACUGGAAUUCCCGGUGUAGCGGUGAAAUGCGCAGAUAUCAGGAGGAACACCGGUGGCGAAGGCGGAUCUCUGGGCCUUGCCUGACGCUGAGGAGCGAAAGCGUGGGGAGCAAACAGG
rnacentral:rRNA from 1 species